rnacentral:sRNA from 1 species
UAAAUAUAAUAAAUUUAUAAAAUAUAAGACUAGGUUUACUAUAAGGAGGCUUAUAUACGUUAAAAUAUUUAGGUUAACCUAGUUUCUACUUAUAUUAAUAUACCCCUUAUAUAAUAUAUAUUAUUAAUUACAAUUAAUAUAUAAAACUAGGAAAUUUAACAAAGUGAUUUUAUUAUUGCCUUUUUAAUUGAUAAUUUGACCGACGUAAAUAAUUAUUUGCCAAUUCCAACAAAUUUUAACAAAUAAAUAAAAUUUUGCAAUUUUAUAACAGUUGAAACAUUGAUGGAAAUAAGUUAUAAAUCCGAAAAAUAUUUGCAUUAUAUAAUGAGAAAAAUUAUAAAACGGUUCAAAAUAGGCCCCAAAAAACAGCAAGUAAAAUUGAAAAAAUUAUUUUUCAUAGAGAAUUUAAAACCGUUAAGUUUUAUUUCCGCCGUUUUUAAUAUUAUUUAACCCAAAUAUAAUAAUAUUAUUUUUUGCAAACAAUUACCACUUAAUUAAUAAUUUAUUGCAAUAUAUUUUAAAUUUAUAAACCCAUUUUUCCGAGAUAUAUAUUAAUAAAACACAGGGUUUUUGCAACCGAUUCUUUAACCGUUUAAAUUAAAUUGGAUGAACUAAACCGCCUGUUUAAAUCUUGCUAAGAUUAAUAUAUAAACAGAAUAUUAAUAACGUUCGAAUUAACUAAUUGCAAACCUUUCUUUAUCUUAUUAUAACCGGUUAUUUUAAGAAUGUAGCAGGGGUAAAUUGUAAAUGCUUUGGAAACCAAAUUGUUAUAAUAUAGUAUUGGUAUUUUAAUAUACUUAAUAGUAUUAACUGGCCCCAAUAUUAGUUUUGCGGUUUAAUAAUUGUUUCGUUUUUCAACAAAAACCAUUACAAUUAAUUUAUUUAACGGCAAUUAAAACCCCAUUCUGCUAUUUUACAAAUAUUAAAUUAUUAAUAACUUAUUACGGAAAUAAGGUAAUCAAAAUUAUUUUACCAUUUGUUUGUUUAAUUGGGGGGUUUAAAAACCUAAGAUUAUUUGAUUUUCAUAAUAUUUAUUUUACCGGGGUAAAGGAAAAUUUCAAAUCCAUGAACAAAUAUUAAUAUAUCCUAUUGGGUGGUGUUUUAACGUGGAAAUAUAAAAAGAUUAAUUUAUAAUUUUAAAUAUUUCAAAAAACUGAAACCGAUAUUUUCACGGAUAUCCUGCGCGAAAUAUAACAAUUCAAAACCGUAUUUACAAAAGUUGGUUUAUUUGGAGAAAGUUUUAUUAUUUUUAUUUUUGAAAAUAAUAUAAGUUUUAUAAUUAACGCAUUUAAGUUUAAAUAUUAUUUAAGUAUGAAAUAUACCUUAUUGAAAUCCUAGUAUAUAUAUAAAUUAAUUACAGAAAGAUUAAUAACUUUUAAAUAUUUGGAAUUUAAACAAAUACCCGCUAAUAAACUUAUAAAACCCGUAAUAUUUCUAAUUUAUAAAGUUUUAAAAAUUAAUAAAAUUAAAGUCCUUGUAAAUUAAAUUUUUACCUAUUAAAGUUAAGGGUAUUAAAUUAAUCCGUUAAUUAAUUACUAUUAUUUUCUCUAUUUGUGGUUAUGGGAUUUUUAUUUAUCUAAUAUUAAUUAAUUAUUUUACUCGAAUUUAUUUUAUAUAAAUUAAUGUUA